AAGAAAGAUUCUGAUCUGUGGUAGCAGCUUGUAUCAUGAAGGUUAUCUCAAACUGUAACAGAAAGUGGGACUUUGUCCUUUUGAUUUGUUGCCCUGCAUGCAUUCGUCCCUGAGGGAAACAGGAAGACAUUCAUGCCAAAUCUGGAAGCAAAGCAUGCUUGUGCAUUAAACAUGAGCCAAACAAUUCAACAAGAGGACAACCUUUUUGCCAGUUUUUUCCAGUCAUGUUGGCAGGGUCAAGAUCUGCAGAAUAAAUUUUAUAAAGUCAAGAAUCUCAUACGAAAGUGACAAGGAAUUCAACAAGGGUAGGACAGUAACAAAGUGUGUGAAGAGAAAGGAUGUUGUUGACACAGGAAAAAUGGAUGAAAGGAAAAACUAUGCAAAGAAGCUACGGUAAAUACUGGUUUUGAUGAACAAGCUCUUCCACUACAAAGACAAAAAAAG